UACAGAGGUCUCAAGCGUUGUUCGGAUUCAUUGGGCGUAAAGGGCGCGUAGGCUGCGGGGCAAGUCGGGUGUGAAAUCUCAGAGCUCAACUCUGAAACUGCACUCGAUACUGCUUUGCUUGAGGACUGGAGAGGAGAUUGGAAUUCACGGUGUAGCAGUGAAAUGCGUAGAUAUCAGGAGGAGCACCUGUGGCGAAAGCGGCUCACUGGACCACAACUGACGCUGAGGCGCGAAAGCUAGGGGAGCAAACAGG
rnacentral:rRNA from 1 species